rnacentral:rRNA from 1 species
GUUGACCUCGAUAGUGGUAGGAAUACCCGCUGAACUUAAGCAUAUCAAUACGGAAAAAAA